rnacentral:rRNA from 1 species
UGCAUGUCUAAGUACACGCCCUAGCAAGGCGAAACCGCGAAUGGCUCAUUAAAUCAGUUAUGGUUCCUUAGAUCGUACACGAUUACUUGGAUAACUGUGGUAAUUCUAGAGCUAAUACAUGCAUCUGGGCCUUCGACCUUCGCGGGAGAAGGUGCUUUUAUUAGACCAAGACCAGACGGGUUCGCCCGAACGUCGUGGUGACUCUGGAUAACUUUGGCGGAUCGCACGGUCUCAGCACCGGCGACGCAUCUUUCAAGUGUCUGCCUUAUCAACUGUCGAUGGUAGGUUAUGCGCCUACCAUGGUUGUAACGGGUAACGGGGAAUCAGGGUUCGAUUCCGGAGAGGGAGCCUGAGAAACGGCUACCACAUCCAAGGAAGGCAGCAGGCGCGCAAAUUACCCACUCCCGGCACGGGGAGGUAGUGACGAAAAAUAACAAUACGGGACUCUAAAGAGGCCCCGUAAUUGGAAUGAGUACACUCUAAACCCUUUAACGAGGAUCUAUUGGAGGGCAAGUCUGGUGCCAGCAGCCGCGGUAAUUCCAGCUCCAAUAGCGUAUAUUAAAGUUGUUGCGGUUAAAAAGCUCGUAGUUGGAUCUCAGUCGUGCUCCCGUCGAAGCGUUGCAAGACGUGUUUCGUCGGGGCCGACAAGUCGUCGGUCGUCUCGGUUGGCCUUAAAAAGCUGAUCGGGUUGCCCGACACCUUUACUUUGAAAAAAUUAGAGUGCUCAAAGCAGGCCGGUGCCUGAAUAUUGGUGCAUGGAAUAAUAGAAUAGGACCUCGGUUCUAUUUUGUUGGUUUUUGGAACCCGAGGUUAUGAUUAAGAGGGACAGACGGGGGCAUUCGUAUUGCGGCGCUAGAGGGAAANNNNNNNNNNNNNNNNUUAAAGGAAUUGACGGAAGGGCACCACCACGAGUGGAGCCUGCGGCUUAAUUUGACUCAACACGGGAAAACUUACCCGGCCCGGACACCGGAAGGAUUGACAGAUUAAUAGCUCUUUCUUGAUUCGGUGGGUGGUGGUGCAUGGCCGUUCUUAGUUGGUGGAGUGAUUUGUCUGGUUAAUUCCGAUAACGAACGAGACUCUAGCCUACUAAAUAGACCCACGGUCCGAAGUACCGUGAUCGGGUCUUCUUAGAGGGACAGGCGGCUUUUAGCCGCACGAAACGGAGCAAUAACAGGUCUGUGAUGCCCUUAGAUGUCCGGGGCCGCACGCGCGCUACACUGAAGGAAUCAACGUGUGUCUACCCUGGUCCGAGAGGACUGGGUAACCCCGUGAACCUUCUUCGUGCUAGGGAUAGGGGAUUGUAAUUGUUCCCCUCGAACGAGGAAUUCCCAGUAAGCGCGAGUCAUCAGCUCGCGUUGAUUACGUCCCUGCCCUUUGUACACACCGCCCGUCGCUACUACCGAUUGAAUGAUUUAGUGAGGUCUUCGGACCGGUGCAUCGAGCGGCUUCGGCCGUUCGCAGCGCUGGGAAGAUGACCGAACUUGAUCAUUUAGAGGAAGUAAAAGUCGUAACAAGGUUGCC